UUGGAUACUGGUAUAAAUGAUUAAACAAUUAUUAUAUUUCUUUUUAUUAAAUAAUAAUUUAGAGUUAUAGUUAAAAUCCUAUAAUUUAUAAAAAAGACGAUAAGACCCUAAAAUCUUUAUUUUAUUUGCUUUUUUAAGGUAAAUUUAUUUUUUACUGGGGUAGUAGUUAUAUUUAUUAUAAAAAAAUAAACUUUUUGGUUUUAUUUCCUUUACAGAAAGGUAAAAUUAGUUACUUUAGGGAUAACAGCGUAAUACUAAUGAAGAGAACAUAUCUAUAUUGGUGUUUGCGACCUCGAUGUUGAAUUAAUAAACCUUUUUUAAGCAGCUUUAAAAAAAGGGGGUUUGUUCAACCUUUAAU
rnacentral:rRNA from 1 species